AUGGAGGCCAUGGGGUUUGGUCAGAGGUGGCGUGACAUGAUUUCCCUGAUUCUCUCGUCCUCCUCUUCGAGAGUGCUGCUUAAUGGCUCGCCGGGAUUGCCGAUUUUGCAUAAAAGGGGAUUGCGACAGGGGGAUCCCCUGUCCCCCUUGCUGUUCAUCAUCGCUAUGGAGCCGCUCCAGCGCCUAUUCUCCCUGGCCACCGAAAAUGGCAUCCUCUCGCCGCUGCAUACCCGGCUGGCGCGUUCGGUCCAGCUUCUACGCCGACGAUGUGGCCCUGUUCGUCAACCCCAUGCGUUCUGA
rnacentral:rRNA from 1 species